GAGUUGCCAAGCCCUCGCUGGACGGAGAUGGUUCUUGAAUCUUGCAUCUAGAAUUGUAUAGGUCCGACCUCCGAUCCAACCGUCAGGGAUCCAAAACAGUAAUCUAGGGAUACGAUUGAUUAAUUAUUUCUAGGUCUGGUCCUCCACAGGGUUAUCAACAUGGAGUGAGACAUAGGGGUAUAUCUCUAUUGGUGGCCGAAAAGGACUGGAGUAAUUCGGAUUGACUAUGGCAGGAAGAGCGGCAGGAAAUGCCGUCAGGCUAAUCAUUUGCUGCAGAGCUAGAUGAACUUGUUCGGAAACCUGCUUCAGAAAAAGGGGAGAACUAAGAAGAGCCUAGAGCAUGCAGUCCAUGUUCGCAUCGCACCGCUUGAACCGGAGAUCGACCAGUUCGUGUUCUUUCUUUCCUCGAUUUGUACUGUAUUAUACUCUUGAGCGAUUUUUUCUUCAAUUUGAUAGUGCCUUCAAAACAAAGAAACACCGUUUUCCCCACCACCUGCUAGAAAGUUAACCAUGACAGGAAAACGGGAAAACUUGUACUAAUGUUCUUCGUUGAGAUAAGCGUGCUCUGUGGGCAUAAGCGAUUUUCCGAGGUACAAAACAUGUUCAGCAGUUGGCAAAGCCUGCCAAGAAUACAGACCUCUUUUCAAUGGUAAAUUGUAUUUCAAUGCUACAAAUGAUGAACAUUCGAAACAAAUAAAUAAGUAUUUUUUUCAAAAAAAUAAAAAAAAUUUCAUUAAAUGAUUCAUUUUGGCAG
rnacentral:lncRNA from 1 species